rnacentral:lncRNA from 12 species
AGGCGUUGUUUUUUUUUUUUUUUAAUUUAGCAUACUGAAUUAGUACUCAUUAUCUUAAACAUUUUUCCCCUCUCACAUUUGUUCAGAAAAGUUUAGAGGGAAAAGGGCAGGGGGGACAGUGUAUAGACAGUGAUUUUAGCUGGUAUUUACCUCGCAGGUGGAGGGAGGAGAUAGAAGUCUCAAAACUACAGGCCUAUGUAAAUUCUGCAGCACCAGAAAGAACGUGGCACAGCCCCUGUUCUGGGACAGAAGGACGGACGUCCGAGGGACAUGGGCAUCUCUUCUCAGCUUGGCCACGGUCCAUAUGAUGGAGCAAUGUAGCCAAGCUGUGGGUUGACUGAGGCUUGCAUCACUGCCCUGACCCAGAUUGCAUCUGCAGUCAUCUGGAACUGACUACACGCCUGAACUGAUAAAAGAGGCUGUGGAAAUACGGAUCUCUGGGGCCUUGGUAAGGUAUCCUCGUAUGUGUCUGCAUGUUGAUGUAUGCUUGUGCCAUAUCCACCUGUCCUCUGGAAGACAAAAGGGUGAGGAUCAGUGCUGUGUCAUUUAUUCUGCAAAAAUUGAACAGAUGAAAACUGCUUUGACAGCCAAUAGAAGAAAAUAGUGUGAUAUGGCCACAGCAAGCACGUUCUAUCUAACAAUUGCACAAUGAUCCCGACAAGGAGUGGCACUCAACCUGCCUGUGAUUACCUCUGUUCUUUUCUUUUGCUGUAACAAUAUAGUUUCUUUCCAACAACAAGUGUUUAUGCAAAACUGCCAAGAUCCUCUAUGCAGAUUAAAAUAGGUUUACAAUUUAAUGAAAGGCUGGUGUGGACCAAGAGGAAAAUGAUCUCAGUAUUUUGCACCUUUUUGUAAUUGAAGUCUUGUCUUUGGAGGGUGUUAUAUCAACUACACACUUGGUGAGGCCUAUAAGGAUUUUCCUUGUGUAAUGACUGCUGGAGUUAGCCCUAGCACAUCACACUAUUCUCAAAGUGAUGUCCAGUAAGUCAUAGGUGGGCUCUCUCGGGAAAAAUGCAGGAAGAAAACUUGGUGAGAGGAGGAUGGAUGCUUCGUGUUGUGAAAUAGGGCAAAAUCCUGUGACACGUUCCCUCCUAUGAGGUCUGAUACCACUGCUUUUCAUAAAGAUUAAUUUCUAAAAAUCAACUGAAAAGCUAUAGGUCAGCCAAUAAGACAGUGACUUGACUAAUUUUUCAUUGCAAAGUGUAUUAUAAUUUCAUGUCUUUAAUUGACAUCAGUGUAGACAGUGUGUUGUUGAAUCCAAUGAAAUUUGAAUAAGUA